UACGGGGGGGGUAAGCGUUGUUCGGAAUUACUGGGCGUAAAGGGCUCGUAGGCGGCCAACUAAGUCAUACGUGAAAUCCCUCAGCUUAACUGGGGAACUGCGUGUGAUACUGGAUGGCUUGGAUUUGGGAGAGGGAUGCGGAAUUCCAGGUGUAGCGGUGAAAUGCGUAGAUAUCUGGAGGAACACCGGUGGCGAAAGCGCGAGACUGGGCCGUAACUGACGCUGAGGAACGAAAGCCAGGGGAGCAAAAGGG
rnacentral:rRNA from 1 species